rnacentral:rRNA from 1 species
UAGUACCUACGGGGGGCAGCAGUGGGGGAUAUUGGACAAUGGGGGGAACCCUGAUCCAGCGACGCCGCGUGAGGGAAGAAGUAUUUCGGUAUGUAAAGCUCUGUCAGCAGGGAAGAAAGCAAUGACGGUACCUGACCAAGAAGCCCCGGCUAACUACGUGACAGCAGCCGCGGUAAUACGUAGGGGGCAAGCGUUAUCCGGAAUUCGUGGGUGUAAAGGGAGCGUAGACGGCUGUGCAAGUCUGGAGUGAAAGGCGGGGGCGCAACCACCGGACUGCUCUGGAAACUGGAUGGCUGGAGUGCAGG